CGGGACGGGUGAGUAACGCGUGAGUAACCUGCCUUUCAGAGGGGGACAACAGUUGGAAACGACUGCUAAUACCGCAUAAGCCCACGGCUCGGCAUCGAGCAGAGGGAAAAGGAGCAAUCCGCUUUGAGAUGGCCUCGCGUCCGAUUAGCUAGUUGGUGAGGUAACGGCCCACCAAGGCGACGAUCGGUAGCCGGACUGGGAGGUUGAACGGCCACAUUGGGACUGAGACACGGCCCAG
rnacentral:rRNA from 1 species